rnacentral:rRNA from 1 species
CGGAUCGUAAAGCUCUGUUGUUAGGGAAGAACAAGUGCGAGAGUAACUGCUCGCACCAUGACGGUACCUAACCAGAAAGCCACGGCUAACUACGUGCCAGCAGCCGCGGUAAUACGUAGGUGGCAAGCGUUGUCCGGAAUUAUUGGGCGUAAAGGGCUCGCAGGCGGUUUCUUAAGUCUGAUGUGAAAGCCCCCGGCUCAACCGGGGAGGGUCAUUGGAAACUGGGAAACUUGAGUGCAGAAGAGGAGAGUGGAAUUCCACGUGUAGCGGUGAAAUGCGUAGAGAUGUGGAGGAACACCAGUGGCGAAGGCGACUCUCUGGUCUGUAACUGACGCUGAGGAGCGAAA